UACCGGCGGCUCGAGUGGUGGCCACUUUUAUUGGGCUUAAAGCGUUCGUAGCUGGGUUGUUAAGUCUCUUGGGAAAUCUGGCAGCUUAACUGUCAGGCGUCUAAGAGAUACUGGCAAUCUAGGAACCGGGAGAGGUGAGGGGUACUUCGGGGGUAGGAGUGAAAUCCUGUAAUCCUCGAGGGACCACCUGUGGCGAAGGCGCCUCACCAGAACGGCUUCGACAGUGAGGGACGAAAGCUGGGGGAGCAAA
rnacentral:rRNA from 1 species